rnacentral:rRNA from 1 species
CCUGGCUCAGGACGAACGCUGGCUGCGUGCUUAACACAUGCAAGUCGAACGCUGAAGCCUAGGUCUUGCACCGGGUGGAUGAGUGGCGAACGGGUGAGUAACACGUGAGUAACCUGCCCCUGACUUCGGGAUAAGCCCGGGAAACUGGGUCUAAUACCGGAUACGACUGCCGGACGCAUGUCUGGUGGUGGGAAAGUUUUUUCGGUUGGGGAUGGGCUCGCGGCCUAUCAGUUUGUUGGUGAGGUAAUGGCUCACCAAGACGACGACGGGUAGCCGGCCUGAGAGGGCGACCGGCCACACUGGGACUGAGACACGGCCCAGACUCCUACGGGAGGCAGCAGUGGGGAAUAUUGCACAAUGGGGGAAACCCUGAUGCAGCGACGCAGCGUGCGGGAUGACGGCCUUCGGGUUGUAAACCGCUUUCAGCAGGGAAGAAGCGCAAGUGACGGUACCUGCAGAAGAAGUACCGGCUAACUACGUGCCAGCAGCCGCGGUAAUACGUAGGGUACGAGCGUUGUCCGGAAUUAUUGGGCGUAAAGAGCCUCGUAGGUGGUUGGUCCACGUUUGCUGUGGAAACGCAACGCUUAACGUUGCGCGUGCAGUGGGUACGGGCUGACUAGAGUGCAGUAGGGUGAGUCUGGAAUUCCUGGUGUAGCGGUGAAAUGCGCAGAUAUCAGGAGGAACACCGGUGGCGAAGGCGGGACUUUGGGCUGUAACUGACACUGAGGAGCGAAAGCAUGGGGAGCGAACAGGAUUAGAUACCCUGGUAGUCCAUGCGUAAACGUUGGGCACUAGGUGUGGGGGGCAUUCCCACGUUCUCCGCGCCGUAGCUAACGCAUUAAGUGCCCCGCCUGGGGAGUACGGUCGCAAGGCUAAAACUCAAAGGAAUUGACGGGGGCCCGCACAAGCGGCGGAGCAUGCGGAUUAAUUCGAUGCAACGCGAAGAACCUUACCAAGGCUUGACAUACACCGGACCGUCCUGGAAACAGGUCCUCUUCUUUGAAGCUGGUGUACAGGUGGUGCAUGGUUGUCGUCAGCUCGUGUCGUGAGAUGUUGGGUUAAGUCCCGCAACGAGCGCAACCCUCGUUCUAUGUUGCCAGCAUGUGAUGGUGGGAACUCAUAGGAGACUGCCGGGGUCAACUCGGAGGAAGGUGGGGAUGACGUCAAAUCAUCAUGCCCUUUAUGUCUUGGGCUUCACGCAUGCUACAAUGGCUGGUACAGAGAGAGGCGAACCCGUGAGGGCAAGCGAAUCCCUUAAAGCCAGUCUCAGUUCGGAUCGUAGUCUGCAAUUCGACUACGUGAAGUCGGAGUCGCUAGUAAUCGCAGAUCAGCAACGCUGCGGUGAAUACGUUCCCGGGCCUUGUACACACCGCCCGUCAAGUCACGAAAGUCGGUAACACCAGAAUCCGCCGGCCUAACUAAAGUCGAACCAAGGU